GGGUUGUUCCGCCGCGCUUUUUCGGCUAGCUCAGGCACCGCUCGUGGACUUCCGUCGCGCCCGCUCGUGGAGUUCCGUGACGCUGUCGGGUAUUUCCGUCUUCGCUCGUAGAUUUUCGCCCGCGUUUUCGGGCGUUUUCGGGCGUUUUGGCCGAGCCCUCUCGGAAGAUUCCGCCAUCGAUCGGCUUCGUUCGUCUGUCUUCUUCGGGAAUCUCCGUAGAACUUUCGGGCGUUUCCGCCGGGUGCUGAGCUGUUCCCGCCUUUUGGGGGCGCGGGCGAGUCUUCGCUGAGGUUGGAGCCGGGCUCCCCUCGUAGCUGUUGCAAGGCAGAGCCUGGCCCCUGGUGCUGGAGGUCCUGCCGGAGCCAUCAGUGCCCGCACAGCCAAAUCAGCCUUGACUAUUAACAAGGAUGAUACUGGGAGACAAAACUGGCUUGUCAGCAAAGGUUUCACAAGACCUUGCAGAGG